rnacentral:lncRNA from 1 species
AUGAUAUUCCUUCCAAAUCUCUUGCACCAAAAGUGAUGUCUUUAAUUUCAUCACUAGAUUCUCUUGGGGUAUGAGCAUGUUGGCGGGCAUACUGCUUCUGCCCACUACUUGUGUCUCCACCGGAUGCUAUGCCCCAACGAUAGUAUUAAUGGUUCCGACAGUGGGUUGAGCACUGCUUCCAUCCCCAGGCUCUUUUCGAUUGUCCCGGUCAUUCCUUGGCCGUUUAUCAUGACCAAUGUAAUUCUUUAAAAAUCCUCUUUUGAUAAGGGCUUCAAUUUCUCGCUGUAAAGCAUGACAGUCCUCUGUAGUAUGCCCAUGAUCCCGGUGAAAUUCGCAAUACUUGCUCAUAUCUCUUGUGUCAGGGGGCGACUUCAUCCUUGAAGGUCACUUUAAUUCUUUAAUAUCCUUAACCUCCAUCAAAAUAUUUGUCAUAGAAGUGUUCAAUCGAGUGAGAGGUGCUGAUGGCGCCUCGUUCCUGCGCUUAUCCCGAGGAACCUCAUGCCUGGGGACGGGAUCAUGUUGCCUUUUGUUCUCGGUCUUUUCAUGAGAAGGACCAGGUCUCCUUGGAUUUAGUGUUUCCUCCAUAUUGAUGUAUUUUUCAGCUCGGGUGAGGAGCUCGGUUACUGUCUGCGACGGGGUCUUUGAUAAAGACAUCUCGAAACCUUCACAUCUUACGGCGUAAGUGAGGGCAGAGACAGCUGCUGUGAUGUGGAGGUCGGGUAUUUGAAGCCUUUCCUUGUUGAACCUUGUUAUAAAUCCUCGCAGGGUUUCGGUUGGUCCCUGGCGAAGUUGCAUGAGAGAGGCCGCGGUCUUCCUAAUUCGCUUGCUACUUGCAAAGAAGGCUGAGAAAUUAUCAGCCAAAUUUGAGAAUGAGGCUAUGGAGUUGGGCUCCAAUGUCGAGAACCAAUCCCUAGCAGCAUUAGUCAGCGUUUGUGGAAAGGCUUUGCACAUAACCUGAUCCGGCGCAACUUGCAAGUUCAUGACAUCAGUGUAUACAUUGAGAUGGUUGAUGGGGUCGGUCGUCCCAUCAUACUCUUUAAUGCGAGGAUACUUGAAUUUGUCGGGCAAGGGAUAUGUCAAUAUCUCUGGUGUGAAUGGAGUGUUAAGGGUGAAGCUGUUGACCCUCGAGCAUUACGUUGCAGGCCAGUUGUAAUUCCUUCUUGAAUGAUCCGGGCAAUUUCACCGGAAUCCAUGGCGACCGAUCUCGAGCCCGAGGCCAUAUUAUGAAUGCCCGAUGUUCCAACUCUGCCAUUUGUUGGGUUUGGUGGUCAUGCUCGAGCAUCGGCCAUAAAACCGCCAUGCUCCGCCUGUGCUGGCGACGGUGUGAAUUUCUUUGACUUAACAGUUGCGUGAGCGUGGCCACCUACUGACGAAGCUCUUCAAAGGCUUCAGUUGUAAUGACUGUUGGCAGAGGUGUGGGCACUCCCGAGGAUUCUUCAUGAGGAGCCGGUUGAUCUUUGGCAGGAUGAGAGAUGGGAGGGGAUGAGCUUGUAGGAGGAAGACCUGAUCGCGUGUUAACCAUGGCUUUUGGUAGCGUUUUUCACAGACGGCGUCAAUGAUGCUACCAAAAUUCGUACCUGCAGAUUUCCCGAGCUUGAUGAUUCGGGUUGAUCAUGAUCGUAAUCUUCCGGUACCUGAAAGAAAG